rnacentral:lncRNA from 1 species
AGAGUUUGCAGGGGGUUUAACUAGGGCCAUGGGCAGUAAGGUAAAUACGUGGGGCAUCAUUGAGCAAGUCAGUUGCAUCUCUUUCAUACCUAAAGAACUCAAGGGAAUGUAAAAGCAAAUAGGUACCCUGGUUUCAUGAUAAGUGUGGAAAUGAGGUCUAAUGGUGAGAAUGGAAAAUGAGAAUUUCACCCUAAUAUAGACUUCUUGAAGUAAGAAGUCAUUUACCACUAGCAAAUGCAGUAACUUUAUUUCUGUUUGAUCUUCUAGCUAAGCCUCAAAUCCAGGAUUUGGACUAAAUCGAUUACUGUCUGCAUAUCAUUGUCCUGGAUAUUUUUAAUACACAUGCUCUUUUGGGAACUAUCUUAUGAGAAGUGAAGAAACCCAGGGGCUAAGGAUGUGGUUUAGUCAAUAAAGUGGACCUGAGUUUGAAUCCCCAUACCUGUGUAAAAAAACAGAUAUGGAAGCAGGCACCUGUAUUUCCGGUGCUGAGGAAUUAGAGAUGGGCAAAUUCUUGGAGAUCACUAUUUCACCCAAUGGGGUUGGUGUUAUGCCUCAGGCUCAAUGAGAGACCCUGUCUCAAAAAGUAAGGUGGGAAGCAAUUGAGAAGGGCACUCAGUAUUAACUUCUGAUUGUCACAUCAAAAUAAACAAAUAAAUAAUAAAGAACUGAGGAAGCCCAAACUCCUCUCAGUCGUUAGACCAUAAGAUGACUGUUCUACUGUAGAAUUGUUUUUGGGUCACUGCUCUGCCUUCAAGGGUUAGUUGGUAACUCAAGACACCCUGGCCUUGGCUCCCAUUAUCCUCCUGUGUGCAGGGAUCUACUCAGUCUUGCUCUUGUAGGCAUGAUAAAACAGGAAGAAUUUAGAGGUGCUGUGCUCUCAACUUUGCCUCCCGUGGCGACUUUUUCAGUGCUUUAUUUCAUGGCAUAAGUGAGAAACAGACAUUGAAAAAUGAACUUCAAUUCCCUUCUUACUAGAAUGAAUAGAUUCAUACUUUAAAAUGAGGGAAAGCAAUACCUGCCUCAAAAAAUAUAUAUACAAAAUGGUAAUACAAUAUGGAAAACUCUGAUUUCUUUUAGUGACAUGGAGACAGGAAAUUUUACUGUUAACGGUUUCUGUUGUCAUAAUUGGUUGAAACACUACAUUUCAGAUAGAGGUUUAGUGUAAAUAGUAAUUUUGUUCCUAUCCAAUUCACCCCUCCUACCCCUGAGUUAACAGUGAUCUAGGUUGACGACAGAAGAUGAACAGGAUGAGAUGCAGGAGGAGUGUGUGCCCAGGUAGAAGGUGCCUGUGGGUUUAGCCAGUGAGAGGAAGUAGUCAGGACAGGGUCCCUGAAGGGAUCAAUAUUCUUCGUGGACAUUGGGAGCUGUUGAGGGAGUCUGAUCAUGACUUGAUCAGAUUUGAAUUUAGAAAGCUAAUUGUGACUCUGAAGAAGGAAUGAUGAUGGAAGAAUCAGAAGAUAACAGCCCUUGAAGGCUGGUGAAGUAAUUUUGAAAGACAGAGCUGAGAAAGGAUGGGGAGAAACCCUGUCUGUCUCAAAACC